GGUGCUAAAUUGACUCCCCUACCUUAUUAAAAAAGAUACACUUGAAUGUUCCUAACACCGCUUCCAUAAAUUUUAUUUUCAUAAAACUUAGUCAAUGUAGGCAUAAUUAAGAGCUCGUUCAAGGUAUUCUGCAAAAAUGUAAAUGAUAUCUAUAAUUUUAUCUUAAUAUCGGAUCCUACGACGGCUUGACUAUUGUGUCAAAAGUUUGACCCGCCGGAAGGAAUUCAUAUCGCAUAGCACCGCGAUAAUCGAAGAAAACUACUAACUUGUCACCUUGAUUCGUAAGCGACUUUCGCGUGAUUUUUUAGAUCUUCGCCUAACCUAUCGUACGAUAUACACUUCAUUGAUUACUUGCUUAUGGGUGGUCGUAUGCGUCAAGUGUCUCAUCUCAUCUCAUAUCACAAAUAAAAUUGAAUGCAACUUUUUUGUUUAACAAUAUCACACAUUCUCGAAAUCGGAAAAAAUACUUUUUGUGCGAUGCAAAA